CCUACGGGUGGCAGCAGUGAGGAAUAUUGGUCAAUGGACGAGAGUCUGAACCAGCCAAGUAGCGUGAAGGAUGACUGCCCUAUGGGUUGUAAACUUCUUUUAUAUGGGAAUAAAAUGUUCCACGUGUGGGAUUUUGUAUGUACCAUAUGAAUAAGGAUCGGCUAACUCCGUGCCAGCAGCCGCGGUAAUACGGAGGAUCCGAGCGUUAUCCGGAUUUAUUGGGUUUAAAGGGAGCGUAGGUGGAUUGUUAAGUCAGUUGUGAAAGUUUGCGGCUCAACCGUAAAAUUGCAGUUGAAACUGGCAGUCUUGAGUACAGUAGAGGUGGGCGGAAUUCGUGGUGUAGCGGUGAAAUGCCUAGAUAUCACGAAGAACUCCGAUUGCGAAGGCAGUUCACUGGACUGCAACUGACACUGAGGCUCGAAAGUGUGGGUAUCAAACAGGAUUAGAUACCCUUGUAGUC
rnacentral:rRNA from 1 species